UUCGGUUGUUUGCAUGGCACUUUAGCCGUGCCGGUGGCUGUUACGCAGUGUGACUUCGGGGAUGUCUCGUAAAAGGUGCAUGAGUGGUGUUUGGUUUGAUACGGGUGGUUGGCUCCCUGCUUGAGCAGGCACGGCCACGCGUACAUUCCUUUUCAGUUGUGCGGCAAGGCUUGUAUCGUCUUGAUUGCAUAGUCGGGUUUCCUGUGUUGCCUACCUGAUCAACGGCAUCGUAUUGAUCAAAAGCGGUACCCUUUUCGUCAGACGUUGCAACUGCAAUGUCGGAUGAACCAUGUAGCAUCCUCUUUGAUCCCUAUAGUCGAUGAACAUUCGUUGAUUGUUGGGCCCGUUGGGGGUGACUUGGUCUCUUGGAUUUGGAAGCUAAAGCGGGCAUGGGUUCGUAUGAUCCUUUUACUGCCCUCGUUGAACGUUCUCGCUUCUCUUAAACGACUGCCUUUCACGUAUGGCAUGUCCCAACGUGUUUGGCUAUGUCCAAAAAGAAUGUUACCUGGUUGAUCCUGCCAGUAGUCAUAUGCUUGUCUCAAAGAUUAA
rnacentral:misc_RNA from 1 species